GACGAACGCUGGCGGCGUGCUUAACACAUGCAAGUCGAACGGAAAGGCCCUGCUUUUGUGGGGUUCUCGAUUGGCGAACGGGUGAGUAACACGUGAGUAACCUGCCCUUGACUUUGGGAGAACUUCAGGAAACUGGGGCUAAUACCCGAGAGGAUCUCCUGCUGCAUGGUGGGGGUUGGAAAAUUUCGGCGGUGGGGGAUGGACUCGCUGCUUAUGAGCUGGUUGGUGUGGUAGUGACUUACCAAGGCUUUGACGGGUAGGCGGCCUGGGAGGGUGAACGGCGACAUUGGGACUGAGAUACGGAGCAGACUGGUAUGGGAGGCAGCAGUGGGGAAUAUUGCGCAAUGGGCGGACGCGUGAUGCAGCAACGCCGCGUGCGGGAUGACGGCCUUUGGGUUGUAAACAGCUUUCGCAUGUGACGAAGAGUGAGUGACGGUAAUGGGUCAAGAAGCACCGGCUAACUACGUG
rnacentral:rRNA from 1 species